GUGCUUGCUUCAGCAGCAUGUAUACUAAAAUUGGAACGAGAUAGAGAAGAUUAGCAUGGCCCAUGUUCAAAGAUGAUGUGCAAAUUCGUGAAGCGUUCCAUAUUUUG
ensembl:snRNA U6 U6 spliceosomal RNA